AUGCUUAACACAUGCAAGUCGAACGUGCCUUCGGGCAAGUGGCAGACGGCUGAGUAACGCGUGAGUAACACACCCUUCGGUGGGGUAUAGCCUCGGGAAACUGAGGGUAAUCCCGCAUACGAUCCCUACGCUCUGGUGUAGGGAUGAAAGCCUUCGGGCGCCGGAGGAGUGGCUCGCGUCCUAUCAGGUAGUUGGUGAGGUAACGGCUCAUCAAGCCGAUGACGGGUAGCUGGUCUUAGAGGACGAUCAGCCAGAGGGGGACUGAGACACGGCCCCCACUCCUACGGGAGGCAGCAGCAGGGAAUUUUGGGCAAUGGACGAAAGUCUGACCCAGCGACGUCGCGUGGGGGAUGAAGGCUCUAGGGCUGUAAACCCCUUUUCCGAGGGAAGAGGAAGGACGGUACCUCGGGAAUAAGCUCCGGCUAACUACGUGCCAGCAGCCGCGGUAAUACGUAGGGAGCGAGCGUUACCCGGAAUUACUGGGCGUAAAGAGCACGUAGGCGGUUGGAUAAGUCUUCUGUGAAAGCUCCUGGCUCAACUGGGAGAGGUCAGGGGAUACUAUUCGACUUGAGGGCUGUAGAGGUAAGCGGAAUUCCCGGUGUAGCGGUGAAAUGCGUAGAUAUCGGAAGGAACACCAGUGG
rnacentral:rRNA from 1 species